rnacentral:rRNA from 1 species
AACGAACGCUGGCGGCAUGCCUAACACAUGCAAGUCGAACGAGAACUUCGGGUCUAGUGGCGCACGGGUGCGUAACGCGUGGGAACCUGCCCUUAGGUUCGGAAUCACUCCCCGAAAGGGGUGCUAAUACCGGAUAAUGUCUUCGGACCAAAGAUUUAUCGCCUUUGGAUGGGCCCGCGUUGGAUUAGCUAGUUGGUAGGGUAAAAGCCUACCAAGGCGACGAUCCAUAGCUGGUCUGAGAGGAUGAUCAGCCACACUGGGACUGAGACACGGCCCAGACUCCUACGGAAGGCAGCAGUGGGGAAUAUUGGACAAUGGGCGAAAGCCUGAACCAGCAAUGCCGCGUGAGUGAUGAAGGCCUUAGGGUUGUAAAGCUCUUUUACCCGGGAUGAUAAUGACGGUACCGGGAGAAUAAGCUCCGGCUAACUCCGUG